UACGUAGGGUGCAAGCGUUUGUCCGGAAUUAUUGGGCGUAAAGAGCUCGUAGGCGGUCUGUCGCGUCUGGUGUGAAAAUCCAGGGCUUAACCCUGGACCUGCAUCGGGUACGGGCAGACUAGAGUGCGGUAGGGGGAGAUCGGAAUUCCUGGUGUAGCGGUGAAAUGCGCAGAUAUCAGGAGGAACACCGGUGGCGAAGGCGGAUCUCUGGGCCGUAACUGACGCUGAGGAGCGAAAGCAUGGGGAGCGAACAGG
rnacentral:rRNA from 1 species